rnacentral:rRNA from 1 species
GUGAGGAAUAUUGGUCAAUGGGCGGGAGCCUGAACCAGCCAAGUCGCGUGAAGGAAGAAGGAUCUAUGGUUCGUAAACUUCUUUUGCAGGGGAAUAAAGUGCAGGACGUGUCCUGUUUUGUAUGUACCCUGAGAAUAAGGAUCGGCUAACUCCGUGCCAGCAGCCGCGGUAAUACGGAGGAUCCGAGCGUUAUCCGGAUUUAUUGGGUUUAAAGGGUGCGUAGGUGGUUUGAUAAGUCAGCGGUGAAAGUUUGCAGCUUAACUGUAAAAAUGCCGUUGAAACUGUCGGACUUGAGUGUAAAUGAGGUAGGCGGAAUGCGUGGUGUAGCGGUGAAAUGCAUAGAUAUCACGCAGAACUCCGAUUGCGAAGGCAGCUUACUAUUUCGUAAUUGACGCUGAGGCACGAAAGCGUGGGUAGCGAACGGGAUUAGAUACCCGAGUAGUCC